rfam:Dipodomys ordii contig_41370, whole genome shotgun sequence.
GGUAAGGUGGCUCAGUGGUAGAGUGCUUGCCUUGCAUGCAUGAGGCCCUGGGUUCAAUUCCUCAGCACCA